rnacentral:pre_miRNA from 1 species
UUUUAUGCAUGAGCAAAGAAAGCGGCUUCCUGAGAUGGAAGCUACUGCUGGUGAAGAUGCUGUGAA